CCCUCCACCCCCCCCCCCCCCCCCGCCCCCCCCCCCCCCUCCACCCCCCCCCCCCCCCCCUCCACCACCACAAUCGUCAUUUCUUCAAAUUUCGACGCAUAAGUCGCCGAUUACACCAACCACUCCAAAUAAUGAUAGAAACAUCAGGUCGCCCUCGAGAAAGUGCUCGACACCACUGUUUAAUAGGCCAGCUAUAACUGUCGAGGAUUUGCUGAAGGUGACCCUAAAAAAAGCACCGCAAAACUUUAAGGAGAAUAGAAGAAACACGAUACCAGGACCAAAGGGACCCGUCGUUUCCUUAGACAUGUUACGUAGUGUGAAAUUAAAAUCUGCCAGGCGCAGAACGACUGAUCAAAUCAUAAGGUCUCCAAGGAGCGGACGAAUAAUUAAAACGCGAACAGCACCAAGUCUCAGUUUGUCUCCGAUUACAAAAAAUUCGGAAAACUCGUUAGGGCGAAUUUUAAAACAAGUGGAAAUUAAUAAACGUGGCCCAAGACGUUUAUUGUCGAGCUCGUCAAGUUUUCGCGAAAAUAUUAUUGCAAAAGAUAAUCAAUUAUCGAGCGUAGAUACGAAAAA